rnacentral:rRNA from 1 species
AGAGUUUGAUCCUGGCUCAGAAUCAACGCUGGCGGCGUGCCUAACACAUGCAAGUCGAACGCGAAAGUCCCGCAAGGGAUCAGUAGAGUGGCAAACGGGUGAGUAACGCGUGGGCGACCUACCUCUGAGUGGGGGAUAACCUUCCGAAAGGAGGGCUAAUACCGCAUGACAUCCCAUGUUUGGAUACAUGGACAUCAAAGCCGGGGAUCGCAAGACCUGGCGCUUGGAGAGGGGCCCGCGUCCGAUUAGCUAGUUGGUGAGGUAAUGGCUCACCAAGGCUCCGAUCGGUAUCCGGCCUGAGAGGGCGGACGGACACACUGGGACUGAGACACGGCCCAGACUCCUACGGGAGGCAGCAGUGGGGAAUUGUUCGCAAUGGGCGCAAGCCUGACGACGCAACGCCGCGUGGAGGAUGAAGACCUUCGGGUCGUAAACUCCUUUCGACCGAGAUGAAUUUCUGCCGGCCUAACAUGCCGGCGGGGUGACAGUAUCGAGGGAAGCAGCCCCGGCUAACUCCGUGCCAGCAGCCGCGGUAAUACGGGGGGGGCAAGCGUUGUUCGGAAUUACUGGGCGUAAAGGGUUCGUAGGUGGC